CUGGCGGGAGCGGGUGGUCCGGCACUUUGUGUUGGUACUUUCCUGUCUCUUGCCAUCCUUGGGUCUAAGCUGUCUGGCAUUUAGUUGUCGGGCAGUGGCUGCCCAUCGUUUACUGUGAAAAAAUUAGAGUGUUCAAAGCAGGCUUAUGCCGUUGAAUAUAUUAGCAUGGAAUAAUAAGAUAGGACCUUGGUACUAUUUUGUUGGUUUGCGCACCGAGGUAAUGAUUAAGAGGGACAGUUGGGGGUAUUCGUAUUCAAUUGUCAGAGGUGAAAUUCUUGGAUUUCUGGAAGACGAACUACUGCGAAAGCAUUUACCAAGGAUGUUUUCAUUAAUCAAGAACGAAAGUUAGGGGAUCGAAGAUGAUUAGAUACCAUCGUAGUCUUAACCAUAAACUAUGCCGACUAGGGAUUUGUGGGUGUUAUUUUUGACCCCAUGAGCACCUUAUGAGAAAUCAAAGUCUUUGGGUUCC
rnacentral:rRNA from 1 species